rnacentral:lncRNA from 1 species
CUGGUGUAGAACAGUGGCAACUGCAAAACUAAAUGAACCAGUUCGUCUGACAGAAGUGCUCUGUUUUAUGAAAUUGAUGCCUGAUCUAGUAUGUGCCUGAAAUGAGUCAAAAAAAAAAUUGGGGGCACCUGAAAUGAGCCAGUUCGUCUGACUGAGAUGCUAAAGCAGACGGGCGUCUUUUAUUUUGCGUCUUUGCCAUUGCGUAGUAGUCUGAAUCUUUUGCACUAUAUGAAUGAAUUAUAAUAGAAAGACUGAUAUUUUGUAAUAUCUAUAUGAACGUAUUUGUAAAAUUGACUGGGAAUCAAUUAAUUAUUAGUCGAGUGAGACCACAUUACAUUUAUUUGUGCUAG